GUAUUCCAGCUCUUGGAUGGUACUCCACCUCUUGGGUACUACUCCUGCUCUUAGCUAGUACUCAAGCUCGGCUAGUAUUUUAGCUCUUGACUAUUACUCCAGCUCUUGGGUAGUACUUCAGCUCUAAGCUAGUACUCCUGCUCACCUAGUACUCAUGCUCUUGGCUAGUACUUCAGCUCCACUAGUAUUUUUCGUGGAGGCUCCCCCUCACACACACACAUUUACCCUGAUGAUAUAGUGGUGAUAGGACACUCUUUGCU